UGUCAGGAAACACGGGGAGCAACAUUGGUUGAGCCCAGGAGCUGGAGUCAGGCUCGGCGGCAUGGAAAGAAUAAAAGAAAAGAAAGCUAAGUAAACUUAUUAGUAUUUAGUACUAUUAUUUCCCUGUAGCUGGCGUUUCUAUUUUGGAGGGUUCUGAUAACUAUAAGAUGUACGGCUUGAUUGAGGAAGUAUGUCCCGAGGGUGAGAAAGUAUAUCUUGCCUAGGGCUUCCUCCACCUUUGUGCUUCUUACUCUCACUUCUUGUGGACCACAAGUAGGGUUAGCCCUUGCCACAUGGUCCUACUGUCAUUCAUGAUAGUCAGCUCCACCAUGAUCCAGAGCAGGCAGGGCCAAAGACUAGAGAGUGAGUCUUCUGGAAUCAAAAGCUAAAAUAAAUCUUUCCUUUCUGUAGUUAAUAUCUUGGGUAUUUUGGUCAAAACUACAAACACAUGCCUGCAAGGCUUUGGUUAAAUAGAUCUGGGCUUCAGAUUUGGUGGUCUUAAAGAGAGAUUGGGACAGAAGCCAAAGCUCUGGAAUGGGGAAUACGUUACAGGCUCGCCUAUCAUUAGUUCGGUCAUCAAGAAGGUAUAGACUCCUCUCCUUCUUCUGCUUUCUUUCCAUGAAGUGUGCACCCCUCACCCUUUUCUCUCUCUAUAUCUCUUCCUUUCCCUCUUUCUCUCUCUAUCCUUCCCCUCACCCCAUCAAAUAAAACUCUUCACUGAGAAAAAAAAAAAAAAAGAAGAGACAGAUUGUUUGGCUCCACUUUCUGCCACCAAGAGACCACAUAGUUUACAAAAUGCAAGUUGGCUUUCGCGGCCCCUAGCUGUAGACAGUGAGAAUCCUUAGUUUACAGCACUGGUGUCUACUUGGUGUCUGCUGAGGUCUGAACGCUGCUUCAAUCUGUGGCAGGAAGCAAGCUGGCCCUUGAGCAUGCCUCAGAGAUGGCGAGAUUCAAGGAGCAGACCUGCUUUAUAACAGUCUGCUAAUCCAGUGGAACUGGAGAACAACUUACACCCCACAAAACGACCGUAAAUACUUCUUAAGAGCGCAGCCCCUAUGACUACUGCAAAAACUCCCAAACCUCCCAAUAUCCUCAAACUAUGAACUUAAUAUGAAGUGUUUUCAGACUGACAUUGUCCCCAGAAAGAAAGCCUAUUUCGUCCUGAAGGUAAUUUCAUCUAAUUCUGAAAGAACUUCAUGAAUGUUCUUAUAUCAACAAGCGUGUCCCUCUAAAGUCCCAAAAUACAAAAGAAAACCAAAUGCUAUGAGCAAGGGCCAGCAGGGCAAGAAUAAACAAUAAAUGCUAAUCAUCACAGGGUGCAAGUUACAUGAUUCGAGACAGCAAAAAGUAGCUCUGAUAGAAAUAAAAAGCAAAGGAGGUUUUUGAAAAUCUGAAAGAAACAAGAAAUGUUAAACAAGGGUGAGCGAUUCAACAGCAUACUUGUUUUAGAAAAAAAAAAUCAAAUUUCUAGAAAUAAGAAAAACAAAAACAAAAACAAAAAAACCCAAACCAAACCAAAACAAAACGAAAAACCCAAAUGACUGACAAUAAAAUAUAGUCAAAUUGAAUCUCAUUGAAGGCAAAGAAUUUCAGAGUAGACAGCAGAAUAAAAUUCUAACUACAUGCUACUACUGGAAAGACAUCUAAAACCAGAGGAUGCCACCUUGCCCAGCCUUAAUACAUGGGGAGCUGCUUAGUCUUACUGCAAUUUGAUAUGCUGUGUUUUGCUGAUAUCCAUGGGAGGCCUGCCUUUUCCUGAACAGAAAUGGAGGAGGAGUGGAUUGGGAGGUGGGGGCAGAGGAAGGAUUGGGGAAGGGAUUGAGAGUAGAGGAGAGAGAGAAAACGGUGGCCAGGACAUAAAAUAUGUAAGUAAGUAAGUGAGUAAAUAAAUAAAUAGAAAAACAGACCAACAAACAAAUAUAAAUAAACAAAAACUCCAAAGGACAGAACAGUUUAGAGGGGAAAGAAGAAAGAAAAAUAAACUAAUCUUGAAUAAAACCCAAUGCAAGCACUUUUAUCAGAAAAAGUACACUUUAAACACAGUGGUUCAGUCCUCAUUUCUGUCUGGAUUGCUUUAUUCUGCAACACAAUGGGAAGAGCCAGCCUUCUGUUGCCCUUUCUAUGAGUUUAUGAACUUUGUUUUGUGCACACAAAGCUGGACAGUAACCAUGACAGAGAUGACCAGGGGUUUCUGCAAGCCAGGAGCAAACUGAUAGCAGUGAUCACCAAACACUUUCAGAACUUUCUUCACUGAAACAGAUGGGCUUUCAUCUUAGAGACAAAAAUAAAAACUGUCAGCGAUAUAUUGAAACUUAAUGAGAAAGCAUGCUUCUUGGUUGGUGCAGAAAUCAUUUAUUUAUUGAAGAAUAAUUUAGCUGUAAUGAUGAUCUCUCUCUUCCUCUCUCUCUCUCUCUCUCUCUCUCUCUCUCUCUCUCUCUCUCUCUCUCUCUCUCUCUUUUGCAAACAGGAAUUAGUGUAUGUGGAUCCUUUGUACUUCCUUGAACAUAAAUCUGAACCUGUUUAAAAAUUGUUUAGCAUAAUCCUACAGCAUCAUCUGUUUCAUUCUGUUUAUUUUGGCUCUGAUGCUCUCACAGAUGUUCAUGAUUACAGAAUGAAAACACGAGAGCACUGUAGUAUGUGGCUCACCAUGGAAUGCAAAAGCAAUGCAGGACAUGAAGGACCCCAGUGAACUUUACAAGAUUGAUUUUUCUCUGGAGCAAGACUGGUCAUAACAUUUGUCAUACAGAACUUUUCAUUUCAUGAGGUUCACAAGAGCAAAAACAAUUAUGUGCUUAUCAACACAAGCAGGGUUUGCCAUGGAAUUUGUAUGUCCAGUCUAAAGAGUUCCUCCACUGUGGUGGAGUCCUGACUGUGAGGCAGCUCAGGUGUCAGGCCGGCUUCUCUUCAGAUAGCAGUCAGCAAACCAAGCAGGCAGUGAGCACAGGGUGGCUCUGUUGUGAGUGUGGAGUGCUUGGAAUGGUUUGUUUCCAGAAAUGUCUAACUCUCGGAGGAGAUCCUGAGCCACUCUUUACGAUUCUGCCUCUCCUUUCCACUGAUGCUCCAGCUACUGUGGGACCACCAAGAGGAAUUUCUGCUCAGAAUACAGGGAAGAGCUGCAGCUGGGACUCAGAAAAUUUCCAGGGAGAAGAAGAUGAUGGAUACACAACCACAGACUGCUACAAUCUCCAAGAAAGAAAACAGGAAGGAACUGGGAAAUGGCAUCCUACACACUACUUACAGCCUUUGUCAGAAAAGCAUCUAUCUGCAGUGGGCAACAGUCAAGUCAGAAACUCAUAACUGAUCAAGGUAUUGAAAAUAACUGACUCUAAUUACUGGGCCCUAAAUGGAACAUCUUCAUCACACACUUAUUCCCCAUUGCCUUGUCAAGACACAGGGAGGACUGAGGAAGGGAAAGAAGAAAGAAUGUAAGAACUAUAAGAAGCAAAGGAAAUUGAGCUCUGUGGUCUCCCAGGGCCCAAGGCUGUAGAGGUGGAAUCAAAUCUGCAAAUGAAUUAUUGGAGAAAAUAAUCUCAAUAUUGGACUUUUGCCAUCUCUCAUCAUGUGCCGAUCGUCAGUUCAGUACAUGAACUAGGAUCUUCUAAAGUGCCCAGCCCCGUAACAGAGGCAGAAACCAGAGCAAAAGGAACAAUCCAGUCCUGAGAAUGUGAUACAUUUUUACUGGAGUAAGGUGUGCAGUCAGAAGACAGAUAUCAGACCACAAAGCCAAGAGGUCUAUAGAUUUCUGAGAUGGGCUGCAGCUAAGUUCCUUAAGUGAACUGAAUGAUGGAAACACUGAUAGGCUCAUGACCAAGGAAACUGAGAUCUGAGUUGGAAGUAGAUAAAGCUGUUGCUGUCUAAGCUUUUCGGACUUAUAUUUCAGUUUUGAGAACUUUGGUUCAUAACUUAAAGAGAUCAGUACUCUAGUGUCCUCUGCAACAAGCUGCUUUGAGAAGCAAUAAUGAAGAUGGGUCAUUUUAAACCAUCAACUGUGGAUCUGAAGCUCUGGCUUUGAAUCUUUGCUGUGUUGUCUGCCUCACGAACAUCUCUUUAUCUUCAAACCGGAGUUCCACUUUCUAGUUUCUUGCUGUUUAUAUUUAACCAUACCAUAUGUAAGGACCAAGUCUAAUGUACAGGAAAUUACUUUUUUAAGUCUUAAAGUUCUGUUCUGGAGUAUUUCAUCAAACCUACAAAUCAUAGAUAUCACAGCAAUUGUUUCUCUCCAGACUCGUGCUACCUAGAGCCUGUUUUGAUGAGGCCACUGGCCAAGGCCCUUUAACCUGAACAUGGGUGCUGAGAGCUCUUUCUCUUAUAAUUCCACACCUUUGCUGUGAAGCUCAGCAGUGAAGCCAGCAGACAUAGAUGGACCAAGAGCCCAAGGCUAUGUGAAAUGAGGACUACUCUGGAUUAAAUUGUUGUGCUCGAAAAAUAAAGAAUGAGUCAGACCAUGCCUAAUUCCACAGGAAGGAGAUUCGUCGCAGCAGAAAACAUGUGGAGUUCAUUUGGUCAGAAAGGAAAUAUUAACAUCUUGAAUUCCACAUGGACUCCAACUCCUGCACAUUUGUUGGAUCACUGACAGAGCCUUGUUAUGGCUCGGCACAAGCAUGGUGGGGGAAUUACAAUAGGAUGUUAUGAAAGGUGAAUAAAGAAUGACCAUUAUUACAGCAAA